rnacentral:pre_miRNA from 1 species
ACAGUAUUGACUAACGUGUAUGUCGUUCUUGGAAGUCCUACCCGUAGUCCAAUGCUGUCA